rnacentral:rRNA from 1 species
CCUACGGGAGGCAGCAGUGGGGAAUAUUGGACAAUGGGCGAAAGCCUGAUCCAGCAAUGCCGCGUGAGUGAUGAAGGCCUUCGGGUCGUAAAGCUCUUUUACCAGGGAUGAUAAUGACAGUACCUGGAGAAUAAGCUCCGGCUAACUCCGUGCCAGCAGCCGCGGUAAUACGGAGGGAGCUAGCGUUGUUCGGAAUUACUGGGCGUAAAGAGUACGUAGGCGGUUAUUCAAGUCAGAGGUGAAAGCCCGGGGCUCAACCCCGGAACUGCCUUUGAAACUAGAUAACUAGAGUCUUGGAGAGGUUAGUGGAAUUCCGAGUGUAGAGGCGAAAUUCGUAGAUAUUCGGAAGAACACCAGUGGCGAAGGCGACUAACUGGACAAGUACUGACGCUGAGGUACGAAAGCGUGGGGAGCAAACAGGAUUAGAUACCCUGGUAGUCCACGCCGUAAACGAUGAUAACUAGUUGUUCGGUCACUUGGUGACUGAGUGACGCAGCUAACGCAUUAAGUUAUCCGCCUGGGGAGUACGGUCGCAAGAUUAAAACUCAAAGGAAUUGACGG